UUUCAAACCCGCUGCAGUCCCUCUUUUUCUCUCUCCCUCCCAAACUCCCGUUUCUGUUGGCUUCAACGCCGGCCCACGGUCGUCGGCAUCUCACACCGCCACCACAAUUAAGAGCAGUGGAGAGAGAUGACCAAAACCCGUUCCUUACCACACCCGACCUCAAAAGAUUGCACCAUUACUCGAAGUUACCACCACCACUUUCUCAAGACGCCGCCGCUAUCAACCAGUUCAGACCAAGCCGAUUGUCUUAGCCAUGAAUCCUUGUCUCCAAUCGACGCCGGUCGACUGCCACACGCGCCUUCAUCAGAGUUUUAGGUUCUGCUGAGAUUGGAAUUACCAUCUCCAGCCAUGAGAAUCAAAAGCUUGUGCUUUUUCGUCCAUGUCUUCUUCGUCUUCUUCUUCUCUUUAAUUGGUACAAACAAAGACCCUAAGCUACAGAUUAGCCACUUUAUUUUCAGUUAUGUCAUCUAAGAGCAGGAUGACGAGGAAGAAAAGGGUCUUAGAAGGUUUACAAGACGGUGGAACUGACAGGAACAUCAGCAAACAUGAUCUACUUCAUCCUUUGUUGUAAAACAGACUUAAUCCUUUGUUGAUAUAAUGAUCAUGUCAACUAUAUCUUCUAUGCCUUUAAAUUUAGUCCUUAAAUAAAUGUUCACACUUUCUAGUUAAAAGUCUAAACCUCAAGUUUUGCUGUUGUGGAAUUUUCUUUGUAUAAUUUAUUGAGAAUAAAAUAUUGAAAUGUUAAAAAAAUGGUUGGUUG